rnacentral:lncRNA from 1 species
AUUGAAAAGAGGUGGGGCGGCAUUUAUUUUUAGCAUGGCUUCUAGUGGACAUAGAGGAGUCCUUCUCCACUUAAAACUAUUUCAAGUUGGAUAAAGAUCCGAUCUAAAUUGACCCAAUCCCAUUAGAUCAAAAGCAACUAGUGUAAGUUAGCUCAAACACUUUGAUCUAAACCAAUUUAGGAACUUGGGUUAAUACAAUGUGCUAGCAUAUCAAAUUAACCCAUAAAAUUUAUAUUAAAUUCUAAUUAAAUCAGACUAAGGCUAAAUUUCAAAGUGUGUGAUCCAUUGGGUUCCAAAUCUAGCCAGC